CUUUUCUCAUUCCUUUUGAUGUGUGCUUAGUUCUUAAUGUGCUGUAAUGACAAGGAUGCUUAUAUCAAGGGGGAGGACUAAAAACUUCUGAGCAAACAAAAAACCAAAGCAAGAUGAAGCCAACAGAGAGCUCAAGGCUUUUGAGGUCACAAAAUGAGUCUGUGCAUAACAUGAGUCAUGCAAAACGGUUCCCGGAGUUACCACCCCUACCUGCUUCCGCGUCAGCUGCACCUUCAGAAUUUUGUCAGGUAUGU
ensembl:lncRNA